UGAAAUAGAAUCCAUUACGAGCAUACUAAAUAAGCCAGUCAAUUAUGUCCUUGCAUUCACCAGCAACCAACAGCUAAACAGACCCCACACAAAAGCAAAGACCAAUUCAGAUCCGAGUACUAACAGCCAUUAGUCUUUCGCGAACACCACACUAACUAAAGUUUCCCGGGGUCGGCGGAACAGAACAUCGAUUCAUAAACAGCAUGACACGACAAAUGGGACAAUAGACCUAGAGCGAAGCUUCACCGUCUAACCCGCGUCGCGAUGUCCAUUCGCUAGGUGAUCACUUCGAGCACGCACAUAACCAACAGUGUGAUCCUGAAAAAACAGAAGCUAAAAUGAAAACCAAAUUGGGUAUAGCACAAAAGGUAGUUAAUGAUAGAAAAGGCAGUGGACAGACACACCAAAAGAAUAGGCUCUCCAAUGCCGCCUGAACUACAGCUUGAGCCUUUUAGCCACAUUGGAGCCGUCUCCUUCUGCCGCCAGGUCAUCAGUUGAUUUACUUCAUGGACAAACAACGAGCUUGUAAAAGAAGGCAGCAAUGACGCAUAUACUGUUAGACACUUGCUUCAAAUCAAAGCCAUAUACCUAGAGGUAGCAGCAAGAUCAUCACCGAGAACAACAGAGCCACCAUCCAGUUUUGCACCCCCCUGGCAGGUAUAAACAAAUAUACCAUGUCAACCGAUCACCAAAUAAUCAUGUGAUCAGGUCUGGAUGAAUCCUCACCAAGCAAACAAAAGAAAAUAUAGUAUGCUACAUUACAUCUUAAGUACAAGUGUAGAUAAUUUGAUAUCCGAUAUAACAGAUGCUUUAGUUAACCAAACUCAAAGGACCAAGACUCUAGUCAGAUGAUUCUAAAAUAACAUCAAG
rnacentral:lncRNA from 1 species